CGCUGCAUAGUAACCCUACACGGACAGGUGCAAACUUUGUACACACAGGCAUCUUCCAAUGAAUAUUGUGUUGUGCAUUUUAUUCUUCACUGAUUUAGUCUCAGGAUUUGAGAGUAAGGGAAGGUAAGAGCCAGUUUGCUCAUGUGCAUUUUAUUUCCUAAGGGGUGGCACCUGAUAAACCAGACUAUGAAGGGAAAAUUAGUUCUGUUCCUCAAAUAUGGCUACUGGAUUUUGGAAUAUGAUUUUUUUUGUUCCAUUUUAAUAGGAUUUGCUCUUACUUGCGAUCAUUGAUGUCUCAGUAUUGUAUUAAACUUGGGUUUGGGGAUUAUAUUAUUAAUGAUUUUUUUCUUUCCCUCCAGUUUUGUGAUGUGUCUUCCAGCGGGUGCACGUAGUAUACAUGACAUGAUGGGGAAUGGUGCCAAGAAUAACCAUUAUACACAGAAUCUCCAGUUUGUUUCCAGGGUCUUUUCUUACCCAUCAUCCCAGUAGGACUUAAAAAGCUGAAUAGUCAAAGUCCUUAAAGGCUUCAUCUAUCUCGCUCGCCAUUUCAAGAGGGGGUCCUUUGGGCUGCGUCAGAUUCGCCGGCAGCACUCUGGUUUUGGAAUAUUAUCCUCAAGGUGAGGGCCCUGAGAUGUUUCCUCCUCAUUCUCUGCAACAUCGCU